rnacentral:rRNA from 1 species
AAUCUAAGUUCCCCCUUAGCCACGCCCCCCCGACAACCCACCAAACACCCACGUAGCGGGCUAAGAGCUAUUUUAAGGGGGUACAGCCCCUUUAAAAAAGGAUACAACCUUCACUAGAGGAUAACCCCGCCCCCCUCCAAACCAGUGGGCCUUAAAGCAGCCACCCACAAAGAGUGCGUCAAAGCUCAUUAAGCAAAAAAUCCAAAAGCAAUGCGACUCCCUACACCCCUAGCAGGCCAACCUAUGACAAUAGAUGAAUUAAUGCUAGAACGAGUAACCAAGGCACUACGCCUCCUUAAGCGCCAACCUAACCACCAUUAACAGCACAGCCACAAUACCAAACUCACCCUGACCGAACAUUGAACGCACCCUGUUGACCCAACCCAGGAGCGCACACCUAGGACGAUUAAAACCUGCAAAAGGAACUCGGCAAACCCAAGGCCCGACUGUUUACCAAAAACAUAGCCUUCAGCCAAACAAGUAUUGAAGGUGACGCCUGCCCAGUGACCCCACGUUUAACGGCCGCG